GAUGAAGAACGUAGCGAAAUGCGAUACUUGGUGUGAAUUGCAGAAUCCCGUGAACCAUCGAGUCUUUGAACGCAAGUUGCGCCCGAAGCCAUCAGGUUGAGGGCACGUCUGCCUGGGCGUCACAUAUCGUUGCCCAAUGCCUAUUGCAGUGCAAUAGGAAUUUCUAGGGCGAAUGAUGGCUUCCCGUGAGCGUUGUUGCCUCGCGGUUGGUUGAAAAUCGAGUCCUUGGUAGGGUGUGCCACGGUAGAUGGUGGUCGAGUUAGAACGAUACCGAUCAUGUGCAUGCUCCCCAAAAUAUGGCCUCUAUGACCCACACGCGUCUUUUGACGCUCAUGACGAGACCUCAGGUCAGGCGGGGCUACCCGCUGAAUUUAAGCAUAUCAAUAAGCGGAGGA
rnacentral:misc_RNA from 1 species